UUUCAUAAACUUUCUCAUUACAGGAGCAUGUAACGUAAUCUCACCCGAAAACCCAAUCAUUUGUCAUGUUGGAGAUGAAGCUUUGUUUAACUGGACUACAGAUGACGGAAGAAUAAUUUAUUCUGCUAACUGGGGAAUAAAAAAUGGGAACCAUCCUGAUUCUCAGUUUAUCAAYACCAAUGUGUUCACAACUGUUGUGAACUACAACAAAAAUAUGGAUCCUAAAUAUCGACAGAGGGUUUAUUUUGUUGGUAACCUGACAAUGGGCCGUGCUUGGUUUAAGUUAAAGAAUGUGAGCGUAAACGAUGAUUUGAAAUAUGUUGCAAAUAUUCAUGAAAGCAAAGGCGGAGUCCUCGCUUACAUCGUACAGUUGGAAGUUAAGAAAAAAGCUAACAUUACGUGGACCACGCAAGUGGCGUUAACUCAAGUUACAGAUGCUACUACAACAUCAUUUAAGAAAAAUGGUGAGAAGCAAAAUAAAACAUUUAAUUUCA